UCUAAGGCAGAUGGCACUGUUGGUUACAACAGCUGCAACUGAAAAUCCAGGAGAAACAGGGGUAGCUGACAAAUAUUUAAAGAUUGCUACCAGCUGUUGAGCCCAAACGAUAUCUCCUUCUCUACCAAGGAGAGAAAGCUUUGCGCAGGGACUCCUUUACCUUCUCUUCAUCAUUUCAUGGCAAAGAUGCUAUUUAGACACUGCUAGAAGGACCAAACUCCUGAAUGUCAGCAGUGUGUUAUCCUGCAGCAAGAUCCUUAAGUCCUGAUGGAUUUGCAGCCUCCUCUCAAUUUCUUUUCUAAAGCAGCUAAAGGUGAUGACUAAAUAUGUCGUUGAAUUCGUCCAUGUGAAUCCUAAUAAGUACAUCAGAGCACAAAGGGAUAUCCGAGGACAGUGCUGGUCACUGGCAAGAGUGAGGCAGGUACUGCAGUGUGCCAAGAUGCAUCAUAUCCCCGAGGACUGCAGUAAUAGUAAUGGAGAAGGAAACAGACGAAAAUAUAAUGGUGCAGCUCUCCUCCCUGCUAGCUGCUUGCGUUACUUUGCUCUGCAGGUGCAGGAGAAGCCUAGAAGGGACCUGACAGGAAUUGUGGUUUCCUUGGGAAAGACUGAGGAGCCUCUCUGGUUGUCCCUCAGUCCUGUUACAGAGCAGAAUUGCAGCAAUGGCACAGUAUAGUCCUUCUGUCGAUUUGUUGUCUCCUACCAAAUGUGGCUAUUUGAGACACCUAAACUCGUCGAGAAUGGAGAUGUACAUACUGGCCUGCCUGGUUAAUGCUGACAUACUAGCAAAGGGAAGGAAUACUGUGGAAGGAUGGAGGUCUUAGAGAAGCUAUGCUCAAAGAAGAUCAGGAGUGUGAAGGCAUGGAACAGGAUAAAUACAGCAAGAAGGCAGUUUGCUGCGGAGUUCAAGACUUUAUUUUUUCUGCUACUUUGUUGUUCUGGCCCGUCCCUGUGCUUUGGGGCAUCUCACCUUCUGCCAUCAGCUAAGAAUUGAUCUGCAGUGUUGAGCCAGAGAACCACAAAACCUUAGUUACCAGCUGUGGUUUGAGGAUGGUAAUUUGGACUUCCACAUUUAGUGCUGAGACACAUUGGCUGGGAAAGUAGAGGAGCUGCUGAGCCUGUUAAGAGACCCACAGGGGAGAAAGUGCUCAAUGAGAUAGUUUGAGAGCUGUAAGUUGUUUUGGCAACCCCUAUUAGACAUGGCCCCUUUAUUACUUCAGUAGCUAUAGAGGAGUGCAAUUUGCUUUUAAUUACUGUAUUAGCAAAUGUAUCAGUAGGGAAACUGAAAAAAAAAAAAAAAGUUGCUGAAUUUCUUUCAGAACUGUUCUUUGCGACUCUAGGAAGGAAAAAAUAUUUGGACAGAAAGAAAUUAUGCUCUAAUGAGCCCCAAACAGACACUGAUUCAGAGACUGAGAGGAAAAUAGCUAUUCUAGAUAGCAGAGUGCUGGCCUCUAGCAUACUCCUGCAAAGUGGAAAUAAUAGCCUCUUUCCAUUGUAAUUUUAAAAUUGUACCUCAGUGCUGCUUCUCUGAUGUUUUGUGAUAGAUGCCAAGACUGGAGACUGCUCUGCUCCAAGUGUGAGUCAGAUAAUAAAGCAAUUUCUGAGCUGUAGCA
ensembl:lncRNA